UGGUGGCGGAGGAGGAAGUUGUGGUGGUGGAGUUUGUUGCAGAAAUAGUAGAUUUCUGUGAUUUUCUGUUACCAACACAAGCAGAGAAAGCUGAGCGUGAUGAGGCAGUGGCGAGUGUGUCAAGUGUUAUUAAGUAUAUCUGGCCGAGUUGCAAGGUUGAGGUUUUUGGGUCAUACAAGACAGGGCUGUAUCUUCCAACAAGUGAUAUAGAUGUGGUGAUUCUGGAAUCAGGUCUCACUAAUCCACAGCUAGGUUUACGCGCACUCUCCAGGGCAUUGUCACAAAAGGGAAUUGCAAAGAAUAUCUUGGUGAUUGCUAAGGCUCGUGUACCAAUUAUUAAGUUCGUUGAGAAGAAAAGCAACAUUUCAUUUGAUCUAAGCUUUUUUUAUCUUCCCAUUUCCCUACUAUCUUCACUUUUGGAUUCAGUGUGCUUUCUUCUUAAGUAAAUUGUAAUCUCAAUAUCUUGGAUCAUCUUCUUAGCUCAUAUUUGCAUCAAUCCGGUUCACUUUUUCUUUAAAGCUUCAGUCUUUGUUGUCUUGUGAGAUCUUGUAGAUUUUGUUUAUGCUACA